rnacentral:lncRNA from 1 species
GCCGUAAGGUAACAUCAGUAGUUAUCUAUAUCUACUUCCUUACAUUGCAUGAGUUAAUUUCUCUUUAGUAUGUUUACUUUUCUUGGCAAUGCAUAAAAAUAACAAAAAUAAAUAGUCUUGCAUUAGGCUACAUUCAUGCAUCUUAAAAAAAUAUAUUAAACUCCAUGUGAAACCCUUGUAGUGUAAAAGUUGUAGGAGUUCUCACUUUGGUGGCCCAUAGAAUAAAAACAUAUAUCAUGCAUUCACACUUUAUGCAUAUAAACCCAUAAAAUCUAAAAAUAUUAACUGAGCAUCCUGCUGCAAUACUGCUGUCUUAAAAAUACUUUGAAACCACCACAACACCCAAUCCUCUAAAAAUGAUAAUCAUUAACGUUUUAUCCUAAUACCGUUCCAUGAGUUUUGGUGUUUUGUGAGAGCUUUGUGUAGAAUGACUCCAAGAGCCAGCUUACCUAGGAAUUUUCAUCUUCAUCACUUGAAGCACACCUUUCUGAUAUACAGCUGACCCCUGUAUAAAUGAAGUAACUUCUUGGGUGAUGAGAUUGAAGUAUUCUAGGCAACACUUGCUCUUAUAAGCAUGAGCACCUCCAUGAGGACUACUCAGCUUCAACGAUCAACCAUAAGUAAACAUUUAGCUUGGGGGAGAACAUCCCCUAGCUAUCAGCACGGUUAGAAGUAUGGAGAAAGAGAAUAAAGUUGAAGAGCUGGAGCCAGAAAAGAAGGAAGCAAAAGAGACAAAAACGAGAUGGAAGAAGACACGUGCGGCAUCACCACGAAACGAGAAGUUGACUGAGGUUACCUCAGAUGAUGAACCCACUGAGUAAGUGUUCUCCUCUAUCUAAAUCCUGUCGGUAGACUUUAAAUUCCGUACCCUAGCCAUAAGGUCAGAAUGAUAGUUAUCUAGUUAAGUUAGCAUGCAUUAGUAAUUUUGCUCUAAUACACCUAGUAGCAUAUUUAUUUCACUUGGCAUAUUAAUACAAAAUACAAACAAAUAUUUACUGCUUUAAUUACUACAUCAUAAAUACCAAACCCCAUGUGAAUAAACUUAUGGUAACUCCUUAGCAAUAUUUACUGUGGUGGCAUAAAAAAUAGCAUUCAUAUUUGAAUUCCUGCAUCAUAAAUCGAAAAUUCAAAAAUAAGAGAAAAUUGAAAUCCUGUUUAAAUUAGACAACAAUAAAACUAGCUCAUAAAGGAUAUCAAUUACUUUUUUGCUAACUGCUAACUCAUUAAUGAUGUAACACCCAAAAAAUUGAUUUCAAUUAAUAGGAAUUAAUUGGAUUUAAUUAAGUAUUUUUUGUGAGCAUUUAAAUUUAGCACUUAAAUAAUUUUUGUGGAAAAUAAAAUUUAUCAUAAGUUUUAGAAACAUGUUUUGCAUUCAUGCUGGAGCACAUUUUAUUCUAUGCUUGUUGUUUUGGUUGAGAAUUUAGUUUGCAUUAAAAAUUAUCUUUGGAAAAGGCUUUGGAAAAAUAAAAUAGAAAAAGAAAAAAAGGGAAAGCCCCCCUCGAAACCAGGCCGAGGCCCAGCUUUCUCCCCCCCCCCACGACCCAGCUUUCCCCAGCUCGCGUUUCGGCCCAGCUCACCAGGCAACGCGCGCCUCCCCUCUCUCCCGUUUCUCUGGCCGACAACUGGGGCCCUCUCCUUCUCUGACUGACGAGCCGACCCCAUCGCACAGCGUCAUCUCCUUCCUCUGCCGUCACUGAGCCGGACACCCCGAUGGCAAUCGAUCCCGGGCUCUCCGCGAUUUCCUAGUUUA